GUUGGGUACUCUAUUAAGACUGCCGCUGACAAGGCGGAGGAAGGUGGGGACGACGUCAAGUCAUCAUGGCCCUUACGACCAGGGCUACACACGUGCUACAAUGGGUAUUACAGAGGGCUGCGAAGGUGCGAGCUGGAGCGAAACUCAAAAAGGUACUCUUAGUCCGGAUUGCAGUCUGCAACUCGACUGCAUGAAGUCGGAAUCGCUAGUAAUCGCAGGUCAGAAU
rnacentral:rRNA from 1 species